rnacentral:misc_RNA from 1 species
GAAAUGCGAUAAGUAGUGUGAAUUGCAGAAUUUAGCGAAUCAUCGAAUCUUUGAACCCACAUUGCGCCCCUUGGUAUUCCAUGGGGCAUGCCUGUUCGAGCGUCAUUUCAACCCUCAAGCACUGCUUGGUGUUGGGCGUUUGUCCCGCCUACGCGCGUGGACUCGCCUCAAAGUCAUUGGCGGCUGUUCCCCUUCGGCUCGUAAGCGCAGCACAGUCGGCGCCCGGAGCUCUGGUGGGAUGGCGUCCAGCAAGCUAUAUUUUCAGGCUUGACCUCGGAUCAGGUAGGGAUACCCGCUGAACUUAAGC